CAGUAGCCACGGUAAUACGAAGGGUGCAAGUGUUACUCGGAAUUACUGGGCGUAAAGCGUGUGUAGGUGGUUGUUUAAGUCUGUCGUGAAAGCCCUGGGCUCAACCUGGGAAUUGCGAUGGAUACUGGGCGACUAGAGUGCGGUAGAGGAUAGUGGAAUUUCCGGUGUAGCAGUGAAAUGCGUGGAGAUCGGAAGGAACAUCUGUGGCGAAGGCGACUAUCUGGGCCAACACUGACACUGAGACACGAAAGCGUGGGGAGCAAACAGGAUUAGAUACCCGUGUAGUCCCUGUCUCUUAUAC
rnacentral:rRNA from 1 species